UACGAAGGGGGCUAGCGUUGUUCGGAAUUACUGGGCGUAAAGCGCGCGUAGGCGGCUUUGUAAGUUAGAGGUGAAAGCCCGGGGCUCAACUCCGGAAUUGCCUUUAAGACUGCAUCGCUUGAAUCCAGGAGAGGUGAGUGGAAUUCCGAGUGUAGAGGUGAAAUUCGUAGAUAUUCGGAAGAACACCAGUGGCGAAGGCGGCUCACUGGACUGGUAUUGACGCUGAGGUGCGAAAGCGUGGGGAGCAAACAGG
rnacentral:rRNA from 1 species